CACGGCCCAGACUCCUACGGGAGGCAGCAGUGGGGAAUAUUGGACAAUGGGGGCAACCCUGAUCCAGCCAUCCCGCGUGUGCGAUGAAGGCCUUCGGGUUGUAAAGCACUUUUGGCAGGAAAGAAACGUCGCGGGCUAAUACCCCGUGGAACUGACGGUACCUGCAGAAUAAGCACCGGCUAACUCUGUGCCAGCAGCCGCGGUAAUACGGAGGGUGCAAGCGUUAAUCGGAAUUACUGGGCGUAAAGCGUGCGCAGGCGGUUCGGAAAGAAAGAUGUGAAAUCCCAGAGCUUAACUUUGGAACUGCAUUUUUAACUACCGAGCUAGAGUGUGUCAGAGGGAGGUGGAAUUCCGCGUGUAGCAGUGAAAUGCGUAGAUAUGCGGAGGAACACCGAUGGCGAAGGCAGGUCUCUGGGCAGUAACUGACGCUGAGGAGCGAAAGCAUGGGGAGCGAACAGGAUUAGAUACCCUGGUAGUCCAUGC
rnacentral:rRNA from 1 species